CCUACGGGAGGCUGCAGUGGGGAAUAUUGGGCAAUGGGCGCAAGCCUGACCCAGCAACGCCGCGUGAAGGAAGAAGGCUUUCGGGUUGUAAACUUCUUUUGGCAGGGAAGAGUAGAAGACGGUACCUGUCGAAUACGCCACGGCUAACUACGUGCCCGAAGCCGCGGUAAUACGUAGGUGGCAAGCGUUUUCCGGAUUUACUGGGUGUAAAGGGCGUGUAGCCGGGUUGGCAAGUCAGAUGGGAAACCCUGCGGCUUAACCCCAGAACUGCAUUUGAAACUGUUGCUCUUGAGUACUGGAGAGGCAGACGGAAGUCCUAGUGUAGCGGUGAAAUGCGUAGAUAUUAGGAGGAACACCAGUGGCGAAGGCGGCUUGCUGGACUGUAAAUGACGCUGAGGCUCGAAAGCGUGGGGAGCAAACAGGAUUAGAUACCCUUGUAGUC
rnacentral:rRNA from 1 species